CCCUUAGAUGUUCUGGGCCGCACGCGCGCUACACUGACUGGUGCAACAAGUGUCGCUCCUUGGCCGAUAGGCCUGGGCAAUCUUUGAACGCCAGUCGUGAUGGGGAUAGAUUCUUGCAAUUUUUGAUCUUCAACGAGGAAUUCCUAGUAAACGCGAGUCAUCAACUCGCAUUGAUUACGUCCCUGCCCUUUGUACACACCGCCCGUCGCACCUACCGAUUGAAUGGUCCGGUGAACCCUCCGGAUCGGCUCGCGCCAACGCAAGUCGAGCAAAGGCCGAGAAGUUGGGUAAACCUUACCAUUUAGAGGAAGGUGAANUCGUAACA
rnacentral:rRNA from 1 species